rnacentral:rRNA from 1 species
AGCCUCACUGGGACUGAGACACUGCCCAGACUCCUACGGGAGGCUGCAGUCGAGGAUCAUUUGCAAUGCGCGAAAGCGUGACAAUGCGACGCUGCGUGGAGGAUGACGGCCUUCGGGUUGUAAACUCCUGUCAUUCGGAAACAAUUCCGCGGCGGUGAAUAACCGCCGCGGUUGAUGGUACCGGAAGAGGAAGUCACGGCUAACUCUGUGCCAGCAGCCGCGGUGAUACAGAGGUGGCAAGCGUUGUUCGGAUUUACUGGGCGUAAAGGAUGCGUAGGUGGCGCUGUAUGUCAGAUGUGAAAGCUCAUCGCUCAACGGUGAAAGUGCAUUUGAAACUACAGUGCUAGAGUAUGGGAGAGGAGAGUGGAAUUCUUGGUGUAGCGGUGAAAUGCGUAGAUAUCAAGAAGAACACCGGUGGCGAAGGCGACUCUCUGGCCCGAUACUGACACUGAGGCAUGAAAGCUGGGGGAGCAAACAGGAUUAGAUACCCUGGUAGUCCCAGCUGUAAACGGUGUACACUUGGUGUGGGAGGAAUUGACCCCUUCUGUGCCGGAGCUAACGCGUUAAGUGUACCGCCUGGGGAGUACGGCCGCAAGGUUAAAACUCAAAGAAAUUGACGGGGGCCCGCACAAGCGGAGGAGCAUGUGGCUUAAUUCGAUGCAACGCGAAGAGCCUUACCAGGGCUUGACAUGUAACUGCAAGUCCCGUGAAAGCGGGAUGCCCUCGAGGGUGUUACACAGGUGCUGCAUGGCUGUCGUCAGUUCGUGCCGUGAGGUGUUGGGUUAAGUCCCGCAACGAACGCAACCCUUGUGUUUAGUUGCCACUACCGGUGAUGAAUCGGUAAGCACUCUAGACAGACUGCCCAUAUCAAGUGGGAGGAAGGUGGGGAUGACGUCAAGUCAGUAUGGCCUUUAUGCCCUGGGCUGCACACGUGCUACAAUGGUCGGUACAAAGGGUCGCAAGACCGCGAGGUGGAGCUAAUCCCCAAAAACCGGCCUCAGUUCAGAUUGGAGUCUGCAAUUCGACUCCAUGAAGUUGGAUUCGCUAGUAAUGGCGCAUCAGCUACGGCGCCGUGAAUACGUUCCCGGGCCUUGUACACACCGCCCGUCACAUCAUGAAAGCUGUCUGCACCCGAAGUCGCUGAUCUUACCCGCAAGGGAUGAAGGCGCCGAAGGUGUGGGGAGUGAUUGGGAUGAAGUCGUAACAAGGUAGCCGUAG